GUGGGGAAUUUUGGACAAUGGGCGAAAGCCUGAUCCAGCCAUGCCGCGUGCAGGAUGAAGGCCUUCGGGUUGUAAACUGCUUUUGUACGGAACGAAAAGACUCCUUCUAAUAAAGGGGGUCCAUGACGGUACCGUAAGAAUAAGCACCGGCUAACUACGUGCCAGCAGCCGCGGUAAUACGUAGGGUGCAAGCGUUAAUCGGAAUUACUGGGCGUAAAGCGUGCGCAGGCGGUUAUAUAAGACAGAUGUGAAAUCACCGGGCUCAACCUGGGAACUGCAUUUGGGACUGUAUAGCUAGAGUACGGUAGAGGGGGAUGGAAUUCCGCGUGUAGCAGUGAAAUGCGUAGAUAUGCGGAGGAACACCGAUGGCGAAGGCAAUCCCCUGGACCUGUACUGACGCUCAUGCACGAAAGCGUGGGGAGCAAACAGGAUUAGAAACCCCGGUAGUCC
rnacentral:rRNA from 1 species